rnacentral:rRNA from 1 species
UACGGAGGAUCCGAGCGUUAUCCGGAUUUAUUGGGUUUAAAGGGUGCGCAGGCGGGAUGUUAAGUCGGCGGUGAAAUUUUGCGGCUCAACCGUAAAAGUGCCUUCGAAACUGGCAUUCUUGAGUGUAGAUGAAGUAGGCGGAAUUUGUGGUGUAGCGGUGAAAUGCAUAGAUAUCACGAGGAACUCCGAUUGCGAAGGCAGCUUACUAAACUACUACUGACGCUCAUGCACGAAGGCGUGGGGAUCAAACAGG